UACGUAGGGUGCAAGCGUUAAUCGGAAUUACUGGGCGUAAAGCGUGCGCAGGCGGCUUUGCAAGACAGAUGUGAAAUCCCCGGGCUUAACCUGGGAACUGCAUUUGUGACUGCAUGGCUGGAGUGCGGCAGAGGGGGAUGGAAUUCCGCGUGUAGCAGUGAAAUGCGUAGAUAUGCGGAGGAACACCGAUGGCGAAGGCAAUCCCCUGGGCCUGCACUGACGCUCAUGCACGAAAGCGUGGGGAGCAAAACGG
rnacentral:rRNA from 1 species